ACGGCAGAUCUCAGCCUGAUCUGCCUGCCCGUGAUUGAUGAAGCCUUAGGGUUGUAAAGAUCUUUCAGAUGGGAAGAUAAUGACGGUACCUUCAGAAGAAGCUCCGGCUAACUCCGUGCCAGCAGCCGCGGUAAUACGGAGGGAGCUAGCGUUGUUCGGAAUUACUGGGCGUAAAGCGUACGUAGGCGGACUAUUAAUUCAGAGGUGAAAUCCCAGGGCUCAACCCUGGAACUGCCUUUGAUACUGGCAGUCUAGAGGUCGAGAGAGGUGAGUGGAAUUCCGAGUGUAAAGGUGAAAUUCGUAGAUAUUCGGAGGAACACCAGUGGCCAAGGCGGCUCACUGGCUCGAUACUGACGCUUAGGUACGAAAGUGUGGGUAGCAAACAGGAUUAGAUACCCCGGUAGUCCACACCGUAAACGAUGAAUGCUAGUCGUCAGGGGACUUGUCCUUUGGUGACGCAGCUAACGCAUUAAGCAUUCCGCCUGGGGAGUACGGUCGCAAGAUUAAAACUCAAAGGAAUUGACGGAGGG
rnacentral:rRNA from 1 species